AACUGAACAUACAAACAAAGCCAGGUCCGGACUUUAAACAUGAUGAUUCUUCAGCUACACGGAAACCAAUGCGUCUCCCUUCUCUGUCGCGUUCUCUGAUUCUCACUCUUUUAUCUCAAAGUUCGAUUGAAAUUCGAAGCAAGAAUCGUAUCCUACUGAGGUUCAUCGAUCACAAUCCUGAAUCCGCCGCGAACUCCAUCGAAGAUGAAUGAUAAAUGGCACAUCGGAGGGAAACCAACCAAAGAACGUAAUCGAGUCAAGAGGAGAGGCAAAAAACUCACCGUGGUCGAACUCCGACGCGCGACGAAUCUCUGAUGAAAAAGGGGCAGGUUAGCUUGCUUGCAGGUCAUGGAAUUAAACAUAAUUUCAAGGCAUGGCAAAACAAACCAAGUCAUGCUUUUUUCCUUUGAAGAAACUUACACAUGAAGCAACUUGGCAUGUGAGAUCUAGGGGUAAGACGAAGAAUCAAGUGAAGAUUAGGAUUAGGUUCAUGGAUUAGGUGGGUUGACUUUGGUCAAAGUUGACAAAAAAGUCAAUCAUUGACCAAAGUUAAUAUUUGAUCAAAAUUAUUAUUUUUGUAAUUUUCUUAUUAAAUGAUGUAAGUAUGAUUGGAAUGUACAUUUUUAUUAAUGGUUCUUUUUAUUUCAAAUGCAAAGAAACUUUCAAAUAA